ACGGGACGAACAUUCCAAAGGGAGUGCUAAUACCGGAUGUGACGCUCCUAUCGCAUGACGGGAGCGUGAAAGAUGGCCUCUACAUGUAAGCUAUCGCUAAAGGAUGGGCCUGCGUCUGAUUAGCUAGUUGGUAGUGUAACGGACAACCAAGGCGAUGAUCAGUAGCCGGUCUGAGAGGAUGAACGGCCACAUUGGGACUGAGACACGGCCCAG
rnacentral:rRNA from 1 species